UACGUAGGGUGCGAGCGUUGUCCGGAAUCAUUGGGCGUAAAGCGCGUGUAGGCGGUUCGGUAAGUCUGCUGUGAAAGUCCAGGGCUCAACCCUGGGAUGCCGGUGGAUACUGUCGGACUAGAGUACGGAAGAGGCGAGUGGAAUUCCCGGUGUAGCGGUGAAAUGCGCAGAUAUCGGGAGGAACACCAAUUGCGAAGGCAGCUCGCUGGGACGUUACUGACGCUGAGACGCGAAAGCGUGGGGAGCAAACAGG
rnacentral:rRNA from 1 species